rnacentral:rRNA from 1 species
GACGAACGCUGGCGGCGUGCUUAACACAUGCAAGUCGAGCGGUAAGGCCCUUUCGGGGGUACACGAGCGGCGAACGGGUGAGUAACACGUGGGUGACCUGCCCUCAGCUCUGGGAUAAGCCCGGGAAACUGGGUCUAAUACCGGAUAUGACUCCAUGACGCAUGUUGUGGGGUGGAAAGCCUUGUGCGGCUGAGGAUGGGGCCCGCGGCCUAUCAGCUUGUUGGUGGGGUGAUGGCCUACCAAGGCGACGACGGGUAGCCGGCCUGAGAGGGCGACCGGCCACACUGGGACUGAGACACGGCCCAGACUCCUACGGGAGGCAGCAGUGGGGAAUCUUGCGCAAUGGGCGAAAGCCUGACGCAGCGACGCCGCGUGAGGGAUGACGGCCUGGUU